UCCAGCAGUGGUCAGCUCUCCAGGCAGCAUCAUGCCUGUGAUGGUGUUACACUGCUGGGAGAGGAAUGACCUGUCUCCUUCCUCCAGUUGCUCCCUGUACUGAUCUGGUGACAUGUGGCACUGGUGCAAGGCAGAACUGUGCUUCCUUAAAAAUGAGCUAAGCAUCACUUUGUCUGCUUAGGUCUAGAGUGGGAGCAGACACA